UCCACCGCCCAAAACCACAGCCACUACUAACCACUACCUUAAUGGUCCCUGCCAUUGAUCCUCCCAACCGGCCUCCUCUACCACCGUGAUAGGACGACGCCACUAUCCUCUCACCAUCCUAAACCCCAAGCCGGCGAGCUUUCAAUCCUUCCCACUAUUCCGGUAGCCACAAAACUUCUUCUCAACUUAAGACUCCACCCUAACUCUCAUGUGCUCAUCGAUAUUGGUGCUGUUGUCGGAGAAGAGGUGCUCGUCGAAGAAGAGGUCACCCGUCACCGGAGUUGAAGAUACCAAAACACAGGUGAAUUGAUGUGCUAACUGGUACUAGGUAACCGAGGCUCAAUGAUGACAUGCCACAGGGUAGUGUCAACGAUUUUGAAGGUGCACACAUCCCCCACCUUGAUCCCAUUAUCCCGGCAGAACCUCUGGAGACCACUAACAUGGUGGCUGCUCCUAUUGUACGGAACAACACGUGCCUGCCAAGAUGUGGUGCUGCUCAUUGAGGUCUUGAGGGUGAUCUUGCAAGGUUCCCUGAUUCCAAUCGCCUUACAGAAGACCGGUGGAAAAUACUGCACGAAUUGUAAUCACAAUGGUCAGUUAAUUUAUUUCUGUAGGCGGUUGCCAAUGAUCCAUGUAUCACACAGGUUGUUGGAUCCCAAUUCCUGUUCAUGCUGGAUUUGAUAACAUGUUCUUGGAGCACUUAAUACAUUGAUCUGUUUCAUAUAUAGCAUGUCCACAUGUAUUAUCAA